rnacentral:rRNA from 1 species
GACGAACGCUGGCGGCGUGCUUAACACAUGCAAGUCGAGCGGUAAGGCCCUUUCGGGGGUACACGAGCGGCGAACGGGUGAGUAACACGUGGGUGACCUGCCCUCAGCUCUGGGAUAAGCCUGGGAAACCGGGUCUAAUACCGGAUAUGACUCCACGACGCAUGUUGUGGGGUGGAAAGCCUUGUGCGGCUGAGGAUGGGCCCGCGGCCUAUCAGCUUGUUGGUGGGGUGAUGGCCACCAAGGCGACGACGGUAGCCGGCCUGAGAGGGCGACCGGCCACACUGGGACUGAGACACGGCCCAGACUCCUACGGGAGGCAGCAGUGGGGAAUCUUGCGCAAUGGGCGAAAGCCUGACGCAGCGACGCCGCGUGAGGGAUGACGGCCU